rnacentral:tRNA from 1 species
GGGAUUGUGGCUCAGUGGUAGAGUGCUUGCCUAGCAAGCAGGGGGCACUGGUGUCAAUCCUC